UCGGUAUUUGGCUGGACCCCAAAAAUCUGGAUUCAGUGCAUCCCUAUUUUUCAAUUCUAUAUGUAUAUAUAUACUCU